rnacentral:rRNA from 1 species
AUGGCGGGGGCUUCGCCGGAGAGUGGCGCGCAAAAUGCCGCGGUUAAGCGGGUGGGGCACUACUCGUCGAUUCAGACCAUCCUGCUCGUCGGCGAAGGGGACCUCUCCUUCUCCCGGGCUAUCGCCGCCGGGUUCGGCUCCGGCGCCAACCUCGUCGUCACUUCCCUCGAAGACUAUGAUUCUCUGACGGACAAGUACCCUGAAGCAAAAUCGAAUUUGGCAGAGCUCGAAAAGCUGGGGGCAGUAAUUCUGCAUGGAGUGGAUGCACAUACCAUGAGGCUUCAUCCUGAUCUCAAGCUGAAAAGGGAGCACCAAAAGGUAGUGAAGGCCUUCUUCGAAAGCGCGGGCCACCUCCUUCGUCCUUACGGUGAAGUUCAUGUCAGCCACAAGACAAAACCCCCUUACGACAAGUGGGACCUUCGAAGACUUGCCGCGGAUUCUGGUCUUUAUCAGGUCAAAGAAGCCCCCUUCCGUGCAGCAGACUAUCCUGGCUACAACAACAAAAGAGGAGAUGGCAAGGAUUGCGACCAACCUUUCAUGCUUGGGGAAUGCAGCACGUUCAUGUUCAGAAAGGGGUAUCUGAACAUGAUUGAAAGGUCAGUGCAUAUAUUUGGCUCAACGCCACUGACAUCCAUUGAGAAUGGUAGAGUAUAUCCUAACAUCUCGGUUUGUUUCUGCUGGUUGUAG